CACGUAGGGCGCGAGCGUUGUCCGGAAUUAUUGGGCGUAAAGAGCUCGUAGGCGGCCUGUUGCGUCCGCUGUGAAAGCCCCGGGGCUUAACCCCGGGUCGGCAGUGGAUACGGGCAGGCUAGAGGUAGGUAGGGGAGAAUGGAAUUCCCGGUGUAGCGGUGAAAUGCGCAGAUAUCGGGAAGAACACCCGUGGCGAAGGCGGCUCUCUGGGACGGUACUGACGCUGAGACGCGAAAGCGUGGGGAGCGAACAGG
rnacentral:rRNA from 1 species